CGACAAGAGAGAGCCCAGAGCUUACGUUUGAGAACUAUACGUUCUUCAUCCAUUAGUUAUAGUCAAGAGUCUGGAGCAGCAGCUGAUGAUAUAAAGCCAUGUCCACGAUGUGCUGCUUAUAUAAUAAAGAUGAAUGAUGGGAGCUGCAAUCACAUGACAUGUGCUGUUUGUGGUUGUGAGUUUUGUUGGUUGUGUAUGAAAGAAAUCUCAGAUUUACAUUAUCUAAGUCCAUCAGGAUGUACUUUUUGGGGGAAGAAACCCUGGAGCCGAAAGAAGAAAAUAUUGUGGCAGCUGGGAACACUGGUUGGUGCUCCUGUCGGAAUCGCUUUAAUAGCUGGCAUUGCUAUUCCUGCAAUGAUUAUUGGCAUUCCUGUGUAUGUGGGCCGCAAGGUAAAAUGCAUACUUCUUGUUAGUCCAUUAUCUUAUUCUAAAUCUUUAGGUGUAUUCUUUUAGUAUUGAUGAUUUUUGGGUUUUUUUUUUUUUUUUAGACAAAGGGUAUCUUUAGUUUCUUCAGUAUAAAAUAGUUAACUCUUUUUUCAUAAAUUUUUAGUGUUUGGCAAGCAUAUA
rnacentral:sRNA from 1 species